rnacentral:rRNA from 1 species
AGUGAACGCUGGCGGUAGGCCUAACACAUGCAAGUCGAACGGCAGCACAGUAAGAGCUUGCUCUUACGGGUGGCGAGUGGCGGACGGGUGAGGAAUACAUCGGAAUCUACUUUUUCGUGGGGGAUAACGUAGGGAAACUUACGCUAAUACCGCAUACGACCUACGGGUGAAAGCAGGGGAUCUUCGGACCUUGCGCGAUUCAAUGAGCCGAUGUCGGAUUAGCUAGUUGGCGGGGUAAAGGCCCACCAAGGCGACGAUCCGUAGCUGGUCUGAGAGGAUGAUCAGCCACACUGGAACUGAGACACGGUCCAGACUCCUACGGGAGGCAGCAGUAGGGAAUAUUGGACAAUGGGCGCAAGCCUGAUCCAGCCAUACCGCGUGAGUGAAGAAGGCCUUCGGAUUGUAAAGCCCUUUUGUUGGGAAAGAAAAGCAGCAGGUUAAUACCCCGCUGUUCUGACGGUACCCAAAGAAUAAGCACCGGCUAACUUCGUG